UACAGAGGGUGCAAGCGUUGUUCGGAAUUACUGGGCGUAAAGCGCGCGCAGGCGGCUUCUUAAGUCUAUGGGGGAAAGACCGGGGCUCAACCCCGUGUCAGCCCGGGAUACUGGGGAGCUAGGGACAUGUAGGGGCGAGCGGAAUUCCGGGUGUAGCGGUGGAAUGCGUAGAGAUCGGGAAGAACAUCGGUGGCGAAAGCGCUCUGCUGGACUGCAACUGACACUCAGGGACGAAAGCUAGGGGAGCGAAUGGG
rnacentral:rRNA from 1 species